GCCUGCCCAGUGAAUAUUUUAACGGCCGCGGUAUCCUAACCGUGCAAAGGUAGCGUAAUCACUUGUCCCCUAAAUAGGGACCUGUAUGAACGGCUAAAUGAGGACUAACCUGUCUCCUUUGACUAAUCAGUGAAACUGAUCUUUCGGUUAAAAAGCCGAAAUAAACACAUAAGACGAGAAGACCCUGUGGAGCUUUAAAUUCUAACCAAACCAUGCCAACACAGCAUAUCACAUAUGGCCAACAAUUUUAAGUUGGGGCGACUUCGGAACAAAAUAAAACUUCCGAGCAUAAAGAGCAUUCCUCUAACCAAGACCAACAAGUCAAAGCAAAUAUUGACCCAGUACUACUGAUCAACGAACCAAGUUACCCCAGGGAUAACAGCGCCAUCUUCUUCAAGAGUCCAUAUCGACAAGAAGGUUUACGACCUCGAUGUUGGAUCAGGACACCCAAAUGGUGCAGCAGCUAUUAAAGGUUCGUUUGUUCAACGAUUAACAGUCCUACGUGAUCUGAGUU
rnacentral:rRNA from 1 species